GAUGGGUAUGGAAUUUUGUCUUGGGGUGUGAGAAAUUUUGGAUGGGUGCGAGAUGUCGCGUGGAGAGGGCGCGAGUCAAAUUCCAAUGCAUCCCAUCGCUAACUAUUUAAAGGGGGCUGCAUCCGGAAUUCAUUUCAUUCAGAUUUCUAAUUCCAUCUCUUCUUUUUAAUAUGCUCUCUCUAUUGUCCAAUUAGUUUCUUUCUUCCCUUGUUAGGACAAGUCCAAAAAUAGUAAGGACAAGUCUGAUUUUAAGAUAAGGGCUUAUAAAGAGAUAUAAGGAAGACAAGGAGACUAGAAAAGUAGAGAUAGGAAGGCU
rnacentral:lncRNA from 1 species